UGAGUAUGGCCAUGGCUGCCAAACAGUGAAGCGGCCAUAUCAAUUCACGCCGCGCGCAUCGAGCAUCGCAUUUUUCCCUGCCGUACGUUAUUGCUUUUGCGAUUUUCAUCACCAUUAUUAUUUAACAGUAUCAACAUUGUGGUGGGUUGGAUCUUGGAUGGCAGUAAUGGAUUUUUAAACCCUAAGUUGGUUAGCUGAUGGGUGAGUGGGUUGGAUCGGAUUAGGCAUUGCUAGGGCGGAGUGUUUGGAUGGAAGUGCAAAACGUGCGCCAAUACUGUGUGCUGUGCCGUACAACACCGUGACCUAGUUUAUUUUUUCUUCUUCUGUACAUAUGCUAAAUAGUAUAUACAUGCACAUAUUUGCACCCGCCUGUUGGCUGCGGCGUAGGAAGUGUUAGUGCCCACCUAUAUGGAGCUCUAGCUGCUGGGAAACGCAACGCGGUGUACGGUUGUUUGCCGUACCUCCCACACCGCCUUUCCUGUCGUGCCAGUAUACUUUGUUCGGGAUGGUAACCGCUGCAGGAUAUGUGCGCGCGCCGGCGGCCGUCAUAAUGUAUUUUCCUUUUUUUUCUGCUUGACGCAAAUGAAGUUGUGCCAUUGAUACUUACUGGGAGGCGAUGUUCGUAUUUGUUCUUGUGUCUUACUCAUUAUUGCAUAAAACCCUUGAGCCCUGAAGCACGAUAUAGACCUAGCCUUCUUAGGGGACAUGGUUUCUUUAUGACAGCACUUUUCUGUAUGAAAUGCUGUUGUCUGUCGACGGGUGCGAAGAGGCUAAUUGCGGCUGCAACGAGAUGUCUCCAAUGUAUGUGUGUAUGUAUGUGUGUGUUACAUGGUCGUGGGUGCGUUUCCCGUACCUGCAAAACGCCCAAUGCGAGCCGAGGGCUCAAGGGCUCUAUAAGCACCGUCCUAUCUCGCACUCCAGACAAAGCAUGUGAAGGUUACUAACGACCAAAGGAAACGGUAGAGUUGCGGUGGGACCACAUACGUUCCAGCAUCCUUGCCAGACGUUCAGGUUCCCACUUCAUAGCGUCCUUCAUAUGCUCGAAGCGUCUCCAAUGAGCGCCACGCGAGAUGAUCCCAUGACGGCGAAAUGGCUGGUUGUUACGAGGUGCCUGUAACGUCAGCAAAGAGAUCAUAAACAAACAACCGGAACACCGGAGCUGGGGAAGGGGAAGGGGUGGCCCUAGGGCUAUCGCUGUUGUGAUGCUUACCGGCGAUACCAGGGAGCAGGGCAUCUACUGGGGUUUACUGGGUUUUAGGGUGCAUUUCCAGUGCGGAUUAAGGCCAGGAUUAACCCUCUGUCCUUUAUCGAUACUUGCGCAAACGGCUAAGUUGUUGGCAAACUUACCUCGCGUUUUCAACCUUUGGUUCCCUUACGGAACGAAACUAUGUGGUAAGCUCGUACCAAGGAUUUCGGUGCCCUAAUCCCUGGCCUUAAUCCGCACUGGAAAUGCACCCUAAGGAAGGUGUAUGGAAUGGAGGUUUGAGGAUCCUAAUUAGGCCAUGGUGUUAGCGCGCCGAUCGACCUGGUCUUCGGCCGGGCGGCUGGGAAACUAAUUGCCAGGAAUUUUCCGUAACAAUAAAU
rnacentral:lncRNA from 1 species